rnacentral:lncRNA from 1 species
CCAAGACAAGGAGAGAGGUGACAGGAGAAAGUCCGUCACAUGACCAUACCUAGCUGCAAGGGAGCCUGGGAGAUGUGUCUAAGCUGUGUGUCCAGGAGGAACAGGACGCAGGACUUUGUCACUGCCUCAGAAGCUUGGCAUCCUUUAAGCAUCAGGAUCCCCCCCAGCCUCCAGCCCGGGGACUGCAGUUUCCGUCGAGUCACCGAGUGUGACGUGUGGAGGGAGCAAGGGCCUGGCUUCCAGCGGCAGCCUCCACCACUGAAAGUCCUGAAGUGACAGAGCAGCUCUGCUCUGCAAUGUAAUCCAGGGACCGGGGUGCUGGCCCUCUGGGGCGGUUGCCUGCAUGCCUACAGGUGAGACCUCACCUCCUCUGGGUAGCAGCCAAAUGGCAGGGGAGGAGAGUGUGGAGCAGGCAUCCCAAACGUCUUCAGACCUCAAAAUGGAAGCAACAAGGUGGGCGGGGCACAGAGACUUUCUGGGCAGCCACAUCCCGGUUCCGACUCCAUUGCUCUGGAAGAAGAGAAUAAAUUUUGGUGGAUGCUAACACAGACCCUCCACAUAGGGUUUCAAUAAAUAGUUGCCGUCA